rnacentral:sRNA from 1 species
GUUUUGGAACUUGGAAAACAACAACAAUUAGUUUCAUUGGUUGGGGCCACAUUUGUAGUGAAACCCCAUGCUUAUAAUAAUGCAUGUU